UACGGAGGAUGCGAGCGUUAUCCGGAUUUAUUGGGUUUAAAGGGUGCGUAGGCGGAUCGUUAAGUCAGUGGUCAAAUUGAGGGGCACAACCCCUUCCCGCCAUUGAAACUGGCGCUCUUGAGUGGAAGAGAAGUAUGCGGAAUGCGUGGUGUAGCGGUGAAAUGCAUAGAUAUCACGCAGAACCCCGAUUGCGAAGGCAGCAUGCCGGCUUCCGACUGACGCUGAAGCACGAAAGCGUGGGGAUCGAACAGG
rnacentral:rRNA from 1 species